UUUUCUCUGGACUCUAAGCUGCUUGAUGCCACCAGGCCUUGGGAAAAAGCUGGCCUUCUGAUAGGAUUGCUAUUGAGUAACAAAAAUUCUUGGAUUCUGAUAACAUCUUUCAUGCAGAAACUCAAAGCAUCUCCCAAAUUAUAAGCCCAUUCUUUUACUCUGUUCUACACUCUCACACUCUAAGAACAACUCAUUUCAAUCUUGGGACCUUGACCAGAAUUCAGGGAAACUAGCAUGAUCCUUUCAGUCUGACGUUUCAUUCCAUCUACUAUCCAAAGCUGUUUCUACAAGGCAUCACCUACGAGACAAUAAAACAAACCCUCCGAAAACAGGAAAUUUGCCAGAAGCUGACAAGCUGGGAAGAAAUAAAAUCAGGAUUUAAGCCAGAACUUGGCUUCAAGCUGACCUCAUCCCACCUGCAAGUCUUAAUACACUUGGACAUGCCAUGAAAUGGCAAGAAAUAUUAAGAUUUUAGAUAUGUAAAAAUAUUAAAAUUUUGCCUCUUA